CCAGUCCCCAGGGUGAGGCCACCACAAAGCACCCUGCUUGCUUUGUUAGCUGGAAAACCAAAGAAGAGGCGGGGCUGAGGGGUCGAGGACAGGUGCCCGACUCCAGAGGCCCUGGUGCCCGUGAGUUUGCAGAGGGAGUGGGAGGAGGGCUGCCUUGGUCCCCCUCCUAGUCUCGAUUGGACCCAGCCGACCAGCAGGAGUGAGGCCGCUAUCCCCACAAAGGUGCAUGUGGCCGAGUACUCAGGGCAAAUUGAACUCCUGGGCCUGGGACAGGCCUCCGGCCCUCUUGCCCCCUUAGGUUUGCCACCCCGCCCCCAGGGUCCCAAGCAGAUCGGUGGGGAGAGGGUUAAGCUGGCCUGGGUGGUGCACCUCUGUUUGCAGGAGAAAUGCACCUGCUCCCGAGUUAAUCCAGACAAAUGAAGGUGAGACUGCAUGAGUCCCCCAGAAAAGAGAUCCGCCCUCCUGUCUGUCUCUGGCAGCCUCACCCAGGCAGAGGCACUCGUCUCCACCCCAGAGCCUGCUCCCACCCGCUUCCGGCCUUCCGGGCCCGGAGGGCGGGACGCAGGCGUCUGUGCACAUCAGAGAAGUUCUGUAUUUGGGCUGUACCAGCAGGAGUGCAGCCUCAGCACCGUGCCGCCCCGCCCCCCUGCCGGCAGCUGUCCAGUCCCGGAGCCCUGCACCCCAAGAGCUGAGACCCCCAUCCCGCGCUCUGUGCCCCCUUUGUUGUCUGGGAGUGACGGGAGCCGUCCCUCAAGGAAAACCAAACACGGAAUCUACUCUCCAGGACACUUCCCUCUCCAAGACCAAUGACCCACUGGGUCAAACUCCAGAAAACUAUACGCUUGUCCAAACAGACCCAGGAACCCCUAGCCUAGCCUGUCAAAUCAUUUCAUGGACAGACAUUGUGGGUGUCCCCAAAGUUCCUGCUACUGACCCUGGCACAGACCUGACAGAUUAGAGGGAAAGGCCAUUGUUCUGUUCCUUGAGGUGGGGGGUGGGGGGGGGGGGACAGGUUUCUACAGAAACAGUUAAAGCCCCACCCAGGGGAAGGAGUGAGACAUUCAAAUGCAAGGCCAGUUGUCCCACUGGCUGCCUUCCCACCACUGCCUGGGAGCAGAGACUCUGAAUCUAAUGCAGGAGCCCCCCCCGCAGGGACCAACCAGCUUGACACUGGGGCCUACCGAGCCCCUGGGCUAGUGGAGAGGGCGUCAUGUGCCUCCAGCUCCCAGCCCCUCUCACUCAUGGCCUCCCUGAGCAGUAGAGAAGAUGACAUUUGUGCACACAGGAGCGUCACGCUUGCGAUGACCCCAUUUGGGAAGGACGCACCAACAGCCAAAGACGGGAGACCCUGGCCCACCACCGGGGGCACUACAGAUAGACCAGAAACCCUUCCCGGGCACCAUGGACAGACUGCACACACUCAACGCGCCCAGCCAGCCCUUGCGAGUGCUCUCUCUGCCUCCCAUCACACGCUGUGAGCUGCCACAGGACACCUUCCCUCGGGCCUCCUUGCAGGCUCCCAGUGGAGUGCUCCUGAUUCCUGCAUCCCCCAUAGCACGAGAGCUUGCUCUCCCCACAGGCAGGUGCUUCACUUGUUCGGUUUUGCAAGUAUGACUCCUCCCAAGCGACACUUCACCUCCAAUGAAGCCAGGUGCCCACCCAGGAACCCUUACAACAGGUGCACAGUCCCCACCGCCCAGGGUUCUCAGCUGCCUCCUGGGGGUUGUCACCCUCAAAAUGAUGACUGAUACUCUGCAGGGUAGCUUGGCCUGCUCCCCAAGGCCAGAAGCUCCUUCUCUGCCCAGCCUUGCUUCUCUGUUCUCUGAGGCACCCCUCCCCACAGUACUCCUCUUGCACAGGAUCCCCUGCCCCAGGCUCUGCUUCCAGAAAAUGAGCCAGUGUCUGAGUUUUGCCUUCCCGAGAACUAGUGAAUCUGAACUUUUCUCAAUUCUGAUGGCCCAUGGAUGUGAUCAUUGGCUCACUGGGCCAUGGCCCACUCCUAUCUUUCCAUAGAAUAUCUUGUGUUUUUCUUUUCUUUUAAAAAAAAAAAUUUAAAAAUGUUUAUUUAUUUUUGAAAAAGAGAGGCAGAGUGUGAGCAGGGGUGGGGGAGGGGCAGAGAGAGAGGGAGACACAGAACUUGAAGUGGGGUCCAGGUUCUGUACUGUCAGCACAGAGCCUGAUGUGGGGCUCAAACUCACAAACUGUGAGAUCAUGACCUGAGCUGAAGUCAGAUGCAUAACUGACUGAGCCACCCAGACGUCCCUAUCUUGUGUUUUGCUUGACAAUUUAUCAGUUCUUAAUUCUGAUUCAACUCUGAUUUAACUUUGCUAUAGCAAGCAUGACUGUAAGGAAAUAGGUGCAGAAAUGUAUUUUUCAUGUUUCUUCAGAGUCUGUACAAGAGGAAAACUUAAAAAGGAGAGAUUAUUAAUAUCCUCAAUGAGAUGAGAGAAAAUAGUGUGACCACAGUAAAAGAUCAGAAUGCUGUAGAAAUAAAUAUUCAGAGAACAAAAAUGUACUCUUGGAA
rnacentral:lncRNA from 1 species